GAUGAACGCUGGCGGCGUGCCUAAUACAUGCAAGUCGAGCGAACGGACGAGAAGCUUGCUUCUCUGAUGUUAGCGGCGGACGGGUGAGUAACACGUGGAUACCCUCCCUCUAAGACUGGGAUAACUUCGGGAAACCGGAGCUCAUACCGGAUAAUAUUUUGAACCGCAUGGUUCAAAAGUGAAAGACGGUCUUGCCGUCACUUAUAGAUGGAUUGGGGCUGCAUUAGCUGUUUGGUAAGGUAACGGCUUACCAAGGCACCGAUAGAUACCGGUCCUGGGGGGUGGAUGGCCACAUCUGGAAUGGGGCCACGGUCCGGACCCCUACGGGGGGCGCCAGUAGGGAUCUUUCCGCAAUGGGCGAAGGCCGGACGGGGCAACGCCGCGUAAGUGAUGCAGGUCUCCGGAUCGUAAGACCCGUUUAUUGGGGAAGAACAUAUGUGUAAGUAACGUUGCACAUCUUGACGGUACCUAAUCAGAAAGCCACGGCUAACUACGUG
rnacentral:rRNA from 1 species